AAUGAAACACAGUUAGAAAAUUGGUGGACACUAGUCAUGUAAUGCUGGACUUAAUGGCUAUAAUAAUGAUAUAAAGCAUGAAUGCCAAGUUGGGUUGAGUACAGAAUUCACAAGU